rnacentral:rRNA from 1 species
AGUGAACGCUGGCGGUAGGCCUAACACAUGCAAGUCGAACGGCAGCACAGUAAGAGCUUGCUCUUACGGGUGGCGAGUGGCGGACGGGUGAGGAAUACAUCGGAAUCUACUUUUUCGUGGGGGAUAACGUAGGGAAACUUACGCUAAUACCUCAUACGACCUACGGGUGAAAGCAGGGGAUCUUCGGACCUUGCGCGAUUGAAUGAGCCGAUGUCGGGUUAGCUAGUUGGCGGGGUAAAGGCCCACCAAGGCGACGAUCCGUAGCUGGUCUGAGAGGAUGAUCAGCAAACCUGGAACUGAGACACGGUCCAGCCUCCUACGGGAGGCAGCAGUGGGGAAUUUUGGACAAUGGGCGCAAGCCUGAGCCAGCCAUACCGCGUGGGUGAAGAAGGCCUUCGGGUGGUAAAGCCCUUUUGUUGGGAAAGAAAAGCAGCAGGUUAACACCCCGCUGUUCUGACGGUACCCAAAGAAUAAGCACCGGCAAACUUCGU